rnacentral:rRNA from 1 species
UACGAAGGGGACUAGCGUUGCUCGGAAUCACUGGGCGUAAAGCGCACGUAGGCGGACUAUUAAGUCAGGGGUGAAAUCCCGGGGCUCAACCCCGGAACUGCCUUUGAUACUGGCAGGCUUGAAUCCGGGAGAGGGAUGUGGAAUUCCAGGUGUAGCGGUGAAAUGACGUAGAUAUCUGGAGGAACACCGGUGGCGAAGGCGGCAUCCUGGACCGGUAUUGACGCUGAGGCGCGAAAGCCAGGGAGCAACGGG